rnacentral:lncRNA from 1 species
GGUUGGGAACCCCCCCUUUUUAACCCCCUGGCUACGGGUAUGGUUCCCCUUUAAAAUGUUUGCCUCAUGAACAUCGGUCACCAUGAUCAGAAUUGGAAAUGUUAAAGAAUGGUUCUUGAAUGUUUUUCCAGCCAUUCUUUAUAUUAUCUAGAUAUAAAUGGUAUGAUUGCCAUUAAUACAAAUAUUAACACCUUAGAAUAAAGAUAGCUGGACUAUUAAUAGGAGAUCUCUUUUUAUAUAUAACCUUCAAAAAACAACAAAAUCCUAUGCUGAAGUGUUAUAUCUGAAAGUCCAAGAUGACAAAAUAUGAAACACUUUUGUUGAAUAGCCUGAUUAAGACAGUAACAUUAUGAAUUAAAAACAAUGACAAUCACAGGAUUAAAGAUUUUUUUAAGGUGCAGUGUGGGUUGGAAGUAUUUGAGAAAGAAAUAUUCUGGCCAGUGGGCAAAACUGGAAAUAGAAUUAACAUGAAUAUUCUUUCCAAACAAAUACAGGAUACAGCUGUGUACUAAAAUAGAAAUGAAUAAUUGCGUUUGCAAAAAAACAUAAAUAUGAAAAAAAAUACAAAAAAAAAAAUACUCCUCAGCUGUCUUGUGAAAGACUAUUUGCAGAAAUGUUCCUAAAUAAUUGUCACAGUUCAGAAUAUGCCUUAUAAACUGGAAUUUAAACCUUUAAGGUGAUCUUUUCACUUACACCAAAUUAAUUUAUUAUGACAACUUAUAUAGCCUAAAACAAUGGAACACUAAAUCACUUAUAUGAGGUUAUAAUUUUCAUUUUGGGUACAGACAGGGAAAGCAGGAUGUUUGAUGCGAUUUCAAAAUGGCUAAAAUUUUAAACUACAAUAUAUUGUCAUAAUGAAGCACAUAUAUAUAUUUAUAUUUCUCUAAUUCUAAGCUGAUUUAUCGUUUUCCUAAUCUGUUGAUUAUUUUUAUUUAAUCAACAUGUGGUUCAUUUGAUCUCAGCUAUUCAUUGGUCAAAUUUCGAUUAUGACGUCACAUUUUCUUGCUUUCCUCUGAAUUUCUUAUUGUGACUUUAUUAAAAAAGGCGUCUGAUGAUGUUGUAUAGAAAGAUCACAUCUUUUACAGAUCAAUGCAGAAAAAGGAAUAAUUAAGUUUGCUUCCAUUAUAGCAUAAAAAUCCCUAGAGAAACUGAUUCCACCACUAAAUCUUGUGUUAUACGAUAUUUAUCAACUCUUGACAGUUAAAUUUUAAAUAUUAAAAACGCUCGGGCGAGCCUCGCAUUUUAAAUUGAUAAUUUAACUGCCUCUAGUGGAUAAAUAUCAUAUCACACUUGAUGGUUCAUAAAUUAUAGCUAAAUCAAUUACCAGAUUAAUGAAAUAUACCAAUUUUGUGAAAAUUUAUGUACAAAAAAGGGAAGAAAGAUACCAGAGAGACAGUCAAACUCAUAAAUCGAAAAUAAACUGACAACGCCAUGGCUAAAAAUGAAAAAGACAAACAGACAAACAAUAGUACACAUGACACAACAUAGAAAACCAAAGAAUAAGCAACACAAACCCCACCAAAAACUAGGGGUGAUCUCAGGUGCGCCGGAAGGGUAAGCAGAUCCUGCUCCACAUGUGGUACAAGUGUAUUCAUGACAUCACAAGUAAGACAAAUUGGGACUUGCCACAAACUUGAAUGAAAACUUGUUAAUAUUAGAUAGAAGACAAUAUAACUCGUAUAUUGACAAAACAUCGAAUUUACCUUUCUGACUGAUAUUUAGUAUGUGGAACUCUUAGCUCUGUUUUUAAUUCGCCUUUUCAGAAUCUAAAGAACUAUGGGUAAUCUAAUUGCUUGUACACCAAAGUAAAAAUAACGUCACAUCAUCGGUUGAAUUCCAAUUGUUUAGGACUCUUAACCAAUCAAGACGCUUUGGUGUACGCUUUUUUUGCCUGUUUUUUAAAUGUUGAUGCUUUAAAAAACAUGCAUGAAAAUUUGAAAAAGGCCUAUACCUUACUUGCGCC